rnacentral:lncRNA from 1 species
GCAUGCCUGUAAUCCCAGUUACUUGGGAGGCUGAGGCAGGAGAAUUGCUUGAACCCAGGAGGCGGAGGUUGCAGUGAGCAGAGGUUGUGCCAUUGCACUCCAGCCUGGGCAAUAAGAGUGAAACUCCAUCUCAAAAAAAAAAUUAUAAUAUACAUAUACAAUGCAGUAUUACACAGCUGUGAAAAAGAACGAGGAAGCUAUGUACUGAUGUAUAAAGCUCUCUAAGGUGUGUUGUUAAAUGAAAAAGGUAAAGAAGAGAGCAUGUUACCAUGUAUCAAAAAAUUGAGAGGAAGCAUAUAUAUAUAUGCUUUUAUAUAUAUAUAUAAGCAUAUAUAUAUAAGCAUAUAUAUAUAUAAUCAGAUAUAUAUAUCUGAUUUUGCCACUGUAAGCAUUUAAAACACCAGUGGAAUGUCCAAGAAAUUAAGAAGAGGAGUUACCUAUUGGAGGAGAGAACCAGGUAGAUAUAUGGCAGGUGUGGGAGGGAGAGCUCUCACUAAAUAUUUUUAUGCUUUAAAUAUUUUUAACCGUAUGUGUAUUACCUAUUCAAUAAUAAAUGCACCCAUUUGUUAG